ACAGGGAAGGGCCAUAGCUCAGUGGCAGAGCAUCUGCUUUGCAUGCAGAAGGUCUCCAAUUCGGUCCUUGGCAUCUCUGGA